AUGGCGGAGAGGCGGAUGGAGAAGGAGGCGGUGUCCAUGGACAAGAUUGCAUCUGAGGAGGGGAAGAGGACGAAGAUGGCAACCGCUUCGACGUCUAAGGCUUCCCCGGCGAAUGCUACGCCGGGGGAAGGGAUCAAGAUGGUGACGGCGCUGACGGCUACGGCCGGUGAAGCGACGUCCACGCCGACGAAGAAAGAUGGGGGCCUCUCUGGCGGGGGUUCUUCCAAAUCCCCGGCCGGGGAUACAGGAUCGCCGGACCCCACGGCGGGCCUCUUGGCGAGGCUAGGGGGCAUGAGGUUGUUGGAGAAGGAGGCGGAGGGCUUUGUGUUUGUGGAUCCAGAGAAGGCAACACGGAAGAUUGUUCGAUGGUCUGUGGCGGGUAAGGUUUGUUCCCCUCGCCCUAUGAAUUUCUCAGCUCUAGAGCGUGCCAUGAUCAAGGCAUGGGGGCUGCACAAGGUAGAUCAGUUCCGAAACAUGGGCGAUAACAUUUUUGUGGUACAUUUUGGGAGUGAAGGCGACUGGAAACAUGCGAUGAAUAGUGGCCCGUGGCAAUUUGAUUUUAAUGUGGUAAUUCUGAAAGAUUAUGAGGGACACAUCAGGCCUUCAGAGAUGGUCUUUGACAGUGUGGACGUUUGGGUCCGUGUUACUGAUCUUCCCCUUGACAAGCGCACGAAGAACUUUGGCACUGCUCUGGGCAACUGGCUCGGGGCGGUGGUGAGGGUUGAUGCGGACAAGGAUGGUUUCGCUCGUGGCACAUGUUUGAGGAUCAGAACCAGAAUUUCAAUUUGAAGGAGCGGUUUUGGAAAGGAGAACUCUGAUGGAGGUGCUGGAAGCAGCCAGAGCAACCAAGGGGGCAACAGAAUGGGAGUCUUUGCAGCUGGCCGUCUGGGUUCGGAUAGCACCAGGGAUACACCUACAAAGCGCAACUUACAGGCUGAAUUCUCACGCACCGGAGACUCACACACUGGUGUGGGCUCUCGGGGUGGCAAUGCUGAGGUUAAUAGCCCUGGGAAGGAUCUGCGUCAUGGGUUGGAGCAGCGAAGGGAGCAGGAGCUCCGAAGUAAACUAGUCCAGCAGAGAAUUCAUGAUGAUAAACAUAGGCAUCGAGACUGGGAGCGUAAGGGCAAGGAAGAUGUGCAUGGGCCAUGCAAUUGGCUUGUUGAGCAAGGCAUGGGCUACGAUGGGAGGGCUGGCUUUAGAGGAGAGAGAAGGCCCAGGAAACAAGGCACGGCAAUGGACAGACUCAAGUGGAGUAUGGGUUUCAAACAAGGUGUGGUAGUGGACUAUGUUGGCAGGAGUGGCGACCUUGCAUUGUGGUGGCGGGAUGAUAUUAAGGGCGGGAACCAACGUCCUUUUGACCAAAUGGAGGUGUUCCGUGACUGUCUUGCUGAUUGUGGGCUCGCAGAUCUUGGCUUCUCGGGCUACCCAUAUACCUGGGACAACAAACGUGAUGGUGCGGAUAAUGUUCAGGUUAGGUUGGACCGUGCGACGUGCGAUGAUUCUUUCCUCAAUCCUUUCCCUCACUCGGAGGUUGAGCAUGUGAUGACCAAAGAGUCUCACCACCAGGCCAUUGUUGUGCAUGCGCUGGAGACUGCUCCACGCCGGCGUAACUGUGGGGAGAGGCCUUUUAUGUUUGAAGAGGCCUGGACCCGCCAUGAGCAGUAUGAUGGCAUGAUCGAGAUAGCGUGGGCUGCUGCUAGCUCGGGGGACAAUAGUCUUGCAGGGAUCUGGCAGAAGCUGGGUGCGGUUUCGGGCAGCAUGCAGAAGUGGGCGCGUGAGGUUUUUGGGUCGAUCCGGCGAAAGAUUGGCAAGCUGAAGACCCAGAUGACUGACGCAAAGGCUCGGGGAGGCACUACGGGGCACUCACUGGAGGUCCUUGAUAUAGAGAAGCAGCUGAGAGAGUUGUAUGAGCAGGAGGAAGUGAUGUACAGGCAACGAUCUCGAGUUGACUGGCUCAAGGCGGGUGACUCCAACACAAAGUAUUUUCAGAACUACACGAGCCAUAGGAGGAGGAAAAGCACAAUCAAUGCUCUUGUUCGGGAGGACGGAUCCAAGUGUACUGUCAACGAUGAGAUGAGGGAGAUGGCGGCCUCCUUUUAUGAGAGGCUUUUCACUUCUGAAGGUUCGGGCGGGUCAAACGCUUUGCUUGAUAAUAUCGCACAGGUGGUUUCACCAACAAUGAACGAGAAGCUAACGACCCAGUUCACCGACGAGGAAAUCCGGCAAGCGCUGUUCCAGAUGGGGCCUACCAAGGCCCCUGGAUCGGAUGGACUGCCGGCCUUGUUCUACCAGUGCCACCGGGAUUUGGUAGGGGAGGACGUAUGCAGGGUGGUAAAAGAGUUCCUGGCUGGAUCGGCUAUUCCGGAUUCUUUUAAUGCGACUUUUAUUGUCAGGAUUCCAAAGGGUGAUCCUUUGAGCCCCUAUCUAUUUCUGUUCUGUGUUGAGGGCUUCUCAGCGCUUCUAAAGAAGGCUCAAGAGGACCGCAUCAUCAAGGGCGUGACAUUUGGGAGCACUGGCCCCCAUGUCACACAUCUUCUCUUUGCAGACGAUAGCAUUGUUUUUUUGGAGGGCUCGCGGGAUAACAUGUUUGCACUCAAGGAGAUCCUUGGGAAAUAUGAGCGUGCCUCUGGACAAAAAGUUAACUUGUCAAAAUCCUCUAUCUACUUUGGUAAGGGGUGUCCGAAUGGGCUGAAGGAGCAAUUAAAAGUUGACAUUGGUAUCCAGUCGGAGGCCCUCAGCGAGAGAUAUCUGGGCCUCCCGACCCAGAUUGGGAGAUCUAAGGAUGGUGCUUUUAGUUAUGUGACAGAGAGCUCCAAGGGUAAAGUCACUGGUUGGAAGGGUCAAGGCAUGUUGAAGAAGGCAAGGGAAGUACUGGUCAAAUCAGGGCUUCAGUCCACACCUGCAUUCACCUUGAGUUGUUUUCACCUCACAAAGAAAAUAUGCCGGAACCUGACUUCUAUCUCCUCGAAAUUCUGAGUGCUGAAGGCCCGGUACUAUAAGGACUGCUCCAUUCUGUGCACUACAUGCCCUUCGAGCGCCUCCUUCACGUUCAGAAGUGUGGUGCAUGGCAGGGACCUGCUUAGGGAAGGGCUGGUGUGGCGCAUUGGGGACGGCAAUUCUAUUAAUAUCCACCAUGAUAGUUGGAUCCCGAGGGCUGGGUGCUCGCGGCCACUGGGCCAAGCUUUCCUCCCAGGCAUAACGAAAGUGGCAAACCUGCUCACGGAUCAGCCACUCAACUGGGACGAGGCCAAAGUGACUGCUAUGUUCUCGCCCUCUGAUACCCGGGACAUUCUUCAAAUUCCUGUUGGAGGGGUGGGUGUGGCGGACUACCAAGCUUGGAAUUACACUAAGAAUGGCAUUUUCAAUGUCAAGGUUUUGGAAGUAAGUCCCUUCGCCGGAACUCAAAGUGUGCUGCUAAUUGCCAGCCACGCCCAAAACAUAGUGUUGAGCAGGGAGAGGAAGUUGAGGCCAGCGGUGAAGGAGUUGAGGUGGCUGCCCGACCAUCACAAGCUGGCAGAUACACUUCCAGGGGACUUCGGCAAAUUCCUAGUGCAUUCCUACCAGCCAGAGACCUCUGAAAUGGUGUUCCCAUGCAGGGGAAGUAUCUGUGUCGAUGCUGACAGUGUUCAAAGGAUCUUGUACCUUGACGCGCUCGUUCAUGACAUCCCAGUAAGCAACUGUGCGAUACGAUCGAAUGCAUGGGACAGUAACCUAAUUGCCAAGGUGGUCAAGAAGGACACGAUCUCUCCUGGUGUGUUUGGCAAAUUACAAGAGGAAGAGGAGGAGGAGGAGGAGGAGGAGGAGGAGGAGGAGGAGGAAGAGGAGGGGGACAAAGAAAAAGAGGACAAAGGAGAGGAGGAGGGCAAGGAAGAAGAUAGUGAGGCAGAGGAUGAGGAACAAGAAAAUGAGGCCAAAGAAGGAGAUGGAGACAAAGCUGCAGCAAUUGAUGGCAGUGGGGGGGAAGGAGAUGAUGAGGAAGAAGACGAGGAUGCCGAUCCUAAUGAUCAAGGGGGAUCCAAUGGAGGCAGUGACAGCUCCGAUGAUUAUGAUGACAAUGGCCUUGGUUCUAGUGGUACAGGCGACAACACAACCAGGAAUAUGUUCUUCUUGAGUGAGGAUGAAAAGAAUCCAGUUGACAUGGAGGAAGCAGGGAAGGAUCUUGAUUGGGUUCAUUUGAAGGAGGAAUACAAGGAAUAUUUGAAGCAGCUUCCAGAUAUCAACUCUAGCAAGAACAAGGCAGCAUCUAUGCCAAGGGCAGAUGCAGAAUUAAAUGUGGAUAAGGAAGUUGUGGCGCAAAGUAUUGUGCCAACUAUAGUGAUCAGAGAGGCAACCACCACUCAAGAUGUGGCAGCAAUUCCUAUUGAGCCUACAACCAUCACAGGAGUUCAACAGAUCAAGAGGAAGAUUCCUCUGUCAACAACCCCACCUAAACCAGCUAAGCAGCAAAAGAUUGUCAUGUUUGCCAAGGGCACAGAGGAGGAACAACACAGAAAAGGUGUGGGAUCCAGACAUGAGACAGAACAACAUGCCACAGCCAUCGAUGCAGGACUGCCAAGUUCUGCUAGUUUGGUGCCAACUCAGGCUGCAAAGGUGCCAACUGCAGAUACCAGUGUACCAACUGAAGUGGUCAUAGUAAAAACUAGCAGAGUUGCUCAGGAAGACUCAACUGCAAGCGUAAGCCCCAAGGUGACAAUUCAUAGAGAUUCUUCAAUGCCAAACACGGAAGGAGGUUGUCAAUCUGUCAAACUGCCGUCUGCAAGAGCUAUCACAGAGCAUCCAAGCAAGUCUGCAUCACCAAGAGCUGAUUUUCAGAACACAUUAACACAAGAGGGGGUGUUCAACAUUGAAGAUUCCCCUGGCCUUCAACCCAUACGCAGAUCAAAUUCUUACAGCUAUCAUGGUGACGGGUACUGCGAUGCACCAACCUUUGACCUGGGCAUAGAUGAUGAUGUUGGGCAUGAUGGAGCACUUGCUCCAGCAACACAAACAUGGGAAGCAAACGUGGUUGUCAUAGAUGAGGAUGAGUUGGACCCAGCAAUAGCGAAUGAAGGAUGCAUUGCUGCUGAUGCUGGCAAGGGAUUAGCUCACCAGCCAUAUGUUGGAUCACCAGACAGCUACCACACCCCGAUAUUCGGAGAACCAGCAAUUGGCACGAGCAGUUCUUCAAGACCACCUGAGUUAGUUCAUUCAAUGAAGCCAAAGCAGUGGCUUUCAAAAAUUGUUAUUGAAACUAGAAUCAUACACAUCAUGGAUAACUUACCAGAAGGGUCAAAGAAAGUCGUCAUGCCAUUGAGGUUUUCUAUCAACUUACAGCAGGGGAUCUACAAUGUGAAUGAGAUAAACAAUAAGUUUGAAUGCAAGAACCGUAUCAACAAGAAAGAUUUGGUCAUGCUGCCAGUGCUUGAGUAUGAUAAUGUAAACGACCGCGAAGGAGGCAUGCGUUAUUGGGUCUUCAACAUCAACUUGAGGGACGAACGUUUCGAAGUCCUUGAUUCAAACAGGAAGCUAGAAGACAUUGAGUUGAUUAACACCGCAUGUAAGAUCGCGGGGCAGUACACCAGCUAUGGAGGAAGCAUUACCCAAAGAAAAGCAUCGAGCACUUCAAGCAAUGAGUGCGGUCUGUUUGCACUGCUUAACGCCACUGAGUGGAACGGGAUCCUACUGCCCAACUAUGAGCCCAAGGAAGUACUCAACAUCAGUAAGAAGCUGGCAUAUGAUUGGGUCACCAGCACGCACAACUCCGCCCCAUGGAGGAAGUUGCUGAGAUACGAAAAUGCCUAG
rnacentral:rRNA from 1 species